rnacentral:lncRNA from 1 species
AACAGCAGAAAGGAAAGUAAAGAAUCAUAUCUUUGGAGCAAGAGGAAGAAGCCAUCUCUGCUUUGCAGCUUGGGUCAAAGCACGUCACCUCUCUGGGCUGCAGCUGUUUCAUUUGUAAAAGGGAAAGUCUAGGCUUGGUGAUCUCCAGGUCUCCUUCCAGCACUGAGGUCCUGUGGCUCUGUGCUUCCCCAAGGCACUGUCCCUCAAACCUAAUUACAUGGUUUGCCUGUAAAAGGAGCGCCUUGAUCAGGGCAGAAACAAUGAGGAGCAGCCAUUGUCAUUCAAAUCCUGGAACUGAGCUUUCUCUCAAGAUCACAGGGGAAGCACAGAGUCCUCUACUUCAGGUCCCUCCAGUCACAGGAACCCAUAUUUCAGCCUGGAUGCAUGGUGGCUUCACUGCAAGGACCCUGGAGGACCCUGGGACUCCACAACAGCACAUCAUGUGCCAUCUGGGACAGGAAGGCUGCUGGGCACUACAGCCAACCCCUCCUUCUCUCAGGGGCCUCGAGACCACUUGUCCUCACAGGCCAGUGUCCACAGCUUUCUCCUCAGCUU